AGUGAACGCUGGCGGUAGGCCUAACACAUGCAAGUCGAACGGCAGCACAGUAAGAGCUUGCUCUUACGGGUGGCGAGUGGCGGACGGGUGAGGAAUACAUCGGAAUCUACUUUUUCGUGGGGGAUAACGUAGGGAAACUUACUCUAAUACCGCAUACGACCUACGGGUGAAAGCAGGGGAUCUUCGGACCUUGCGCGAUUGAAUGAGCCGAUGUCGGAUUAGCUAGUUGGCGGGGUAAAGGCCCACCAAGGCGAGGAUCCGUAGCUGGUCUGAGAGGAUGAUCAGCCACACUGGAACUGGGACACGGUCCAGACUCCUACGGGAGGCAGCAGUGGGGAAUAUUGGACAAUGGGCGCAAGCCUGAUCCAGCCAUACCGCGUGGGUGAAGAAGGCCUUCGGGUUGUAAAGCCCUUUUGUUGGGAAAGAAAAGCAGCAGGUUAAUACCCCGCUGUUCUGACGGUACCCAAAGAAUAAGCACCGGCUAACUUCGUG
rnacentral:rRNA from 1 species